AACGAACGCUGGCGGCAGGCCUAACACAUGCAAGUCGAGCGCCCAGCAAUGGGAGCGGCGCACGGGUGCGUAACGCGUGGGAACGUACCUCUUGGUACGGAAUAACACAGAGAAAUUUGUGCUAAUACCGUAUAAUAUCUCCGGAUCAAAGAUUUAUCGCCAAGAGAUCGGCCCGCGUUGGAUUAGCUAGUUGGUGAGGUAACGGCUCACCAAGGCUACGAUCCAUAGCUGGUCUGAGAGGAUGAUUAGCCACACUGGGACUGAGACACGGCCCAGACUCCUACGGGAGGCAGCAGUGAGGAAUAUUGGACAAUGGGCGAAAGCCUGAUCCAGCCAUGCCGCGUGAAUGAAGAAGGCCUUAGGGUUGUAAAGUUCUUUCAGUGGUGAAGAUAAUGACGGUAGCCACAGAAGAAGCUCCGGCUAAAUUCGUGCCAGCAGCCGCAGUAA
rnacentral:rRNA from 1 species